ACACGGAGGGCGCAAGCGUUGCUCGGAAUCACUGGGCGUAAAGCGGGUGUAGGCGGUCUAGCAAGUCAGAUGUGAAAGCCCACGGCUCAACCGUGGAAGUGCAUCUGAAACUGCUAGACUUGAGUGCCGGAGAGGGAAGUGGAAUUCCUGGUGUAGGGGUGAAAUCCGUAGAUAUCAGGAGGAACACCGGUGGCGAAGGCGACUUCCUGGACGGCCACUGACGCUGAGACCCGAAAGCGUGGGGAGCAAACAGGAUUAGAAACCCCUGUAGUCC
rnacentral:rRNA from 1 species